AGUACUCCUGCCAACCAGAUCACAAAAAGAUCAUUAUCAAUCGAUGAUCAAGUGAAAUAACAUGAAUAUUGCUUCCCGCACACCAUAUAACGCACCAAAGAGUAUGACGCAUUGUCCCUUUUUCUUCCCAUAUGUUGGCGGAAAAUCUAUGCAUCAGUUUGCAGAUAAUAUUAAGGGAAAAGUUUCGCACCGGCGGACCGGCUGAAAAUUGCGCCCGUCCCACACGGUCGUCACGUAUCUCAAGUGGCCCCACCCACCGCCCUCCUCCUUCAGCAUACCUUAUCGCUUCAGACGACCAGAGACCAGAUCCACUCAUCCACAGAUCUCGCAUCGCUGCCAUCGCCUCCGCUCCGCAUCUCGCUUCCACCUCAUCCCGCGCGUCGCCGCAGAGACCCUCUGCAACCGGCGACGCGGUGCCGGCCGGGCAUGGCCACCCCCUCCCCCGGUUAUAUCUUCUCGGCUGCCCCGCCACCAUUUUUCCCCUUUUGAUGAAGAGAAAUGCCACCCUCUUUUUCCCCUGUGCUGGAACCGGCGGGGGAAUUGCUUCAACCGACGGACGGAUUUGCUUCAACCGGCAAGGAUGGUGGUGGGCGGCGACGGCGAUGGCAGAGGGAAAAGAUAGUGCUGGGCGGCGACGGCGGCGAGCGGCGAUGGUUGAAGCAACAUGAAGGCGAAUCUGGUGUUGCAACCACCACAGCAACGACCGACGAGCGACCGGGACGGCGAGAGUAGAUACUGAAGGCGGAGGGAACCUCUACUAGCGAUAAUGCGGGGCGAGAUGCUGCAACCGGCAUUCGUGGUGCUACAUCGGGCAUCACCGGAAGCUGGAACCAGCGUUCCCGGUGCUGGAACCAAUGCACCAUUUUUUGCAUUUUUGCUACUACGGUUUUGUGGUUGCUACAACCAGUGUCAAUUUUUGCUACCAUCCCCUUUUUGAUUUUGCUGGAACCAAGGCUCAGUUUUGCAUUUUUCCUACCACCUGUGUUUUUAUUUGUUGGAACAAUACCCAAUUUUUGCUACCACCAUUUCUUGGUUUGUUGGAA